rnacentral:rRNA from 1 species
UACGUAGGUGGCAAGCGUUGUCCGGAUUUACUGGGCGUAAAGGAUGCGUAGGCGGAUAUUUAAGUGGGAUGUGAAAUACCCGGGCUCAACUUGGGUGCUGCAUUCCAAACUGGAUAUCUAGAGUGUGGGAGAGGAAAAUGGAAUUCCUAGUGUAGCGGUGAAAUGCGUAGAGAUUAGGAAGAACACCAGUGGCGAAGGCGAUUUUCUGGACCAUAACUGACGCUGAGGCAUGAAAGCGUGGGGAGCAAACAGG